rnacentral:tRNA from 1 species
GGGAAUGUGGCUUAGUGGUAGAGUGCUUGCCUCGCAAGCAGGAAACCCUGGGUUACAUUCCUC